rnacentral:rRNA from 1 species
AGUGAACGCUGGCGGUAGGCCUAACACAUGCAAGUCGAACGGCAGCACAGUAAGAGCUUGCUCUUACGGGUGGCGAGUGGCGGACGGGUGAGGAAUACAUCGGAAUCUACUUUUUCGUGGGGGAUAACGUAGGGAAACUUACGCUAAUACCGCAUACGACCUACGGGUGAAAGCAGGGGAUCUUCGGACCUUGCGCGAUUGAAUGAGCCGAUGUCGGAUUAGCUAGUUGGCGGGGUAAAGGCCCACCAAGCCGACGAUCCGUAGCUGGUCUGAGAGGAUGAUCAGCCACACUGGAACUGAGACACGGUCCAGACUCCUACGGGAGGCAGCAGUGGGGAAUAUUGGACAAUGGGCGCAAGCCUGAUCCAGCCAUACCGCGUGGGUGAAGAAGGCCUUCGGGUUGUAAAGCCCUUUUGUUGGGAAAGAAAAGCAGCAGGUUAAUACCUCGCUGUUCUGACGGUACCCAAAGAAUAAGCACCGGCUAACUUCGUG